CCUGCAACUGCAGGACGGAAUGUGGCGUGGUCGAUUGUGAAUCGAUUCCACGCUGAACCACUCA
rnacentral:ncRNA from 1 species